AGUGAUUACUUAUUAUAUGAUUUAAAGCAUGAAAGAAAUUUGCAUUAAACAUUUUGCAAAUAGAAUAACGAUUGUUUUAAUUGGUUUAUAUUUAUAAAUCAAAUUAUUAUAGUAAAUCGAGUAAGGAUAUUGUUGGUGUCCUUAACUCAAGAAUUUUAGUUUUCAAAUAUUUAUUUAUUAAAUUUUGAAAACCCGGCUAAGUGAAUCAUAGGAUGUUAAGCACUUUCACCAUGACUUAAGAUUAGAUUCGAGAGACCUAUUAAGAAUAGAUUUCUUGUAGGCCUUGAGGACCAGGAGAAUUAGCACUGCUUUCCCGUGACGGGUUUACGGUUAAACUACAGGCUUUGCCUAUUCAGGUUGAUCGGCUGGUGCAGACGGGGCUGAGCUGAGGCUGGGUACCACAAUGUCUUUUGCUUCCGCUAACGACUAACUUGUCACUUCGUCUGUUAAUUCUCUAAACUUAGAAUUUCUAUUAUGUGGUACAAUAUUAUAUUAUUGGACUUAAACUCUUAUCCUAUAUUUCUAUUAAUAAAGCUAUCUUUGAUUAUGAUCAGAGUCACGAAACUAAGCUUAUGUGAUCCUGAGUUGGAAUAUUGUCAUUUGAUUGGCAACUGUUAAGGCCUUUCAAUUUACCUCCUUUCAUUUUAUCUCCUUGGAAUAUGAAUACCCAAUUUAAUGGGUAGAUUGUCAAGUUUAUUUUGGUUGAUUAAGACUUUCCAUUAUUUUUC